UACGAAGGGUGCGAGCGUUGUUCGGAAUUACUGGGCGUAAAGGGUUUGUAGGCUGAGAUAUAAGUCAAGUGUGAAAUCCCCGAGCUAAACUUGGGACGUGCAUUUGAAACUGUGUUUCUUGAGUAUCGUAGAGGGUGGUGGAAUUGUAGGUGUAGGAGUGACAUCCGUAGAGAUCUGCAGGAACAUCAGAGGCGAAGGCGAAUCUCUGGACAAUUACUGACACUGAGGCACGAAGGCCAGGGGAGCAAACGGG
rnacentral:rRNA from 1 species